rnacentral:rRNA from 1 species
AGCGAACGCUGGCGGCAGGCCUAAAACAUGCAAGUCGAACGGAUCCUUCGGGAUUAGUGGCGGACGGGUGAGUAACACGUGGGAACGUGCCUUUUGGUUCGGAACAACUCAGGGAAACUUGAGCUAAUACCGAAUGUGCCCUUCGGGGAAAGAUUAUCGCCAUUAGAGCGGCCCGCGUCUGAUUAGCUUGUUGGUGAGGUAAAGGCUCACCAAGGCGACGAUCAGUAGCUGGUCUGAGAGGAUGAUCAGCCACACUGGGACUGAGACACGGCCCAGACUCCUACGGGAGGCAGCAGUUAGGAAUCUUGCGCAAUGGGGGAAACCCUGACGCAGCCAUGCCGCGUGAAUGAUGAAGGUCUUAGGAUUGUAAAAUUCUUUCAGCGGGGACGAUAAAUGACGGUACCCGCAGAAGAAGCCCCGGCUAACUUCGUGCCAGCAGCCGCGGU